rnacentral:rRNA from 1 species
UAUGGAAUCUUCCACAAUGGACGCAAGUCUGAUGGAGCAACGCCGCGUGAGUGAAGAAGGUUUUCGGAUCGUAAAGCUCUGUUGUUGGUGAAGAAGGAUAGAGGCAGUAACUGGUCUUUAUUUGACGGUAAUCAACCAGAAAGUCACGGCUAACUACGUGCCAGCAGCCGCGGUAAUACGUAGGUGGCAAGCGUUGUCCGGAUUUAUUGGGCGUAAAGCGAGCGCAGGCGGAAUGAUAAGUCUGAUGUGAAAGCCCACGGCUCAACCGUGGAACUGCAUCGGAAACUGUCAUUCUUGAGUGCAGAAGAGGAGAGUGGAAUUCCAUGUGUAGCGGUGGAAUGCGUAGAUAUAUGGAAGAACACCAGUGGCGAAGGCGGCUCUCUGGUCUGCAACUGACGCUGAGGCUCGAAAGCAUGGGUAGCGAACAGG